ACCUGGWUGAUCCUGCCAGUAGUCAUAAUGC
rnacentral:rRNA from 1 species